GAGCAAGGAUGCCACCAGGUUUCUGAAAUUGUAAAACUACAAAUUAGAAUAAUCAAACAUAAAUGAAUAUCAAGCAACUUUUCCAUCCAUCCAAUGAAGUUUCUUAUUGCUGUGGCUUGAAAAAAAUACACUAAAAAACCAAGAAAAAUGAAUGCCAGCAAAUUAUGUACACAAGUGACAUAGCCUCAUUUACAACUAACCAAGAAACAAUAUCUACUAGAGUCAUGAUAAUGCAAAGCCUGAAAACUCCUCUUGUUCAAGGGAACAAAACCUGAUCAAUCUUUCCUCUCAAUUCCUUUUUCAUUUUCUUUUAAUCAAAAGCAUAUUCAAUUAUUCUAGGAAGUCGGCCACGUUAUGCACUGAAAUAUUGCAACAGGAUUCGCCUCCAAAAAAAUUAUUUACAUCCAAACGUGUCAAAUCAAUUAACUUUCUUGGGCAUCAUGUGAUUACUGUAGAAUAAAAGAAACAUGGAUGAGAAUCUAAAGUGACAACCUCCUAAAACAUACUUUUAGAUAACCAAGACACCAUUGUGUUGGUGUUCAAAACAAUUUUGCACAAAAGGCAAAAACUAAUUCUUUAAG
rnacentral:misc_RNA from 1 species